UUAAUUGAAACCAAAAUUUGAGGUAUAUCAUUGUUAAUGAUAAAAUUGAGUUUAACUCCAAUUAAA
rnacentral:tRNA from 1 species